AAGAUGAUAAGCAAAAGGCAUUUAAAAAGAUUAAUAAAAAUGGAAAAAGAAACGUUUGUGAAAAAAGUUAUAAAUGUUGGGGUAGAAAAUGUGGACAGCUCACAAAAAGACAAGGAAUAUGUUGAAAGUAGUAAUUUAAGUGAAAAUAGAGCAGAACAGAUUAAAAUAGUGACUGAAUGUGAAAGUUCUACAGAGAGUGGCAAGAGAAAUAUAAGCGACAAAUUAAUGGAAUGGAACAUAAAACAUAGACCUUCACGCAAUUGCGUAAAGGACUUAAUAGAAAUUCUUAAGGAAGAACAGAUUGUUGUCACUCCAUUUUAUAAAUUCAAUUGUUCAGAUAGGCCGAUAGUGGAAAAAAUUGCAGGUGGGUCAUAUGGUAUGUCACGCAACUUAAAGGGGAUAGCCGCUGUCGUAAAAUUGCCUGAAAACAUUGUAAUUGGCGUUAACAUAGACGGGUUGCCUCUCUUUAAAAGCGCAAAUUUUAAUUAGAAUUAUCAAUAUAGAAAAUCAUCCAGUAUUCCCAGUUGGUGUUUUUGUUGGGAAAAGUAAACCGGUUGAAUGUGGAGAAUUUCUCUCAAAAUUUGUUGAUGAAAUGUCAUCCUAUUAUGAAACUGGUUUGGAAUUACAAGGUGAUAUUUACAGAAUUAAAAUAAGAGCAGAUCUUUGUGAUGCUCCAGCUAAAGCAUUCAUUUCUGGUACACCAUCUCAUACGUCGCGACACGGAUGCUCAAAGUGCACGCAAAUAGCACGAAAAAUUGAUGGAACUUUAACGUAUAGCACAUCAAGUGCAAUACUUAUUUCAGAUGACGAUUUUUCAGCUCGGAAAUAUCCUUCUCACCAUAUGACAAAGUAUUUGGCAAAAAAAAAACUCCUUUAGAACACCUCAAUUUAUCCAUGAUUACGCAAAUGCCAUUAGAUUGCAUGCAUUUGGUAGAUUUAGGCGUCAUGCGAAAGUUUUUACUGCGAUUAAUUAAUAAGAAAACUUUUUUCCAAGUUCCAAUUGGAAAUAUGCAAAACAUUUCAAAAAAAUGAUUUCUCUCCGAGGUUAUAUUUCACGUGAAUUUUGGAUGAUAUAUCAUAUUGGAAAGCCACUGAGUUCAGACAGUUUUUACUGUAUACUGGUAUCGUUGUUCUUAAAAACGAGGUACAUGAAGAUGUUUUCUACGAAUUUUUGUUAUUGCAUUGUUCGUAUAGAAUGAUAUGCUGUCCAAAGCAAUGCAUCAACAAUUUGCAAACAAUUAAAAUUCUUUUAAACUUGUUCGUAGAAAACUUCCCAAUCAUUUUUGGGGAAAAUAGUGUUUCGUACAACGUACAUAAUCUCCUUCAUCUCAAAUGCACUAUAGAAGUUAUUAAUAGUGAGAAUUAUUUGCAGAGUCUAAAAAAAUGUGUAAAAAGGCCAUCAAAGAUUUUGGAACAAGUAUUUCGGAAAGUAGUUGAAGAAAAAUUUUGCAUAAAAAAGUAAGCAAAGGCCUUAACUCAGUUGAAAACAAUUUUUUCUUUAAUAAUUGUUGUUUAACGACGAAGUCACCGGACAAUAUUUGCUACAUAGAACCUGGAAUACCUGUGCAGGUCCAUGGUUUUUGACAAGAAAAUGGUGGUACGUUAAUAGGACGGAAAUUUUUAAACAUACAGAGUUUUUAUAAAAAGCCAUGUGACUCAAUUACACUUGGAAUUUUUUAGUAGACACUAAAAUUUCGGACAAUAUUGAUUAUUUUCAAUUGAGUGGCAUACAAACUAAAGCUGUUAAAUUUCCUUAUAUAUCACAAUUCAUUUUAAUUCCCAUUUUACAUGCCUGUCUUUAAUGCUUUUCGUAACCGUCCUUUUUUUAAACAUUAAGAACAUAGAACACUAUGAAUUCUUCGCUUAGUCCCACAAGACAAAUAAAACGCAUAAAGAUCGCUAAUUAUUCCGAAGACCAAACACCAGAUCAAACACCAACAUAAAUGAAUUGUUUAAAAAAAUUGAGCAAUUAAACGGAUCCACAAACAGCAUACAAGGACAGAUGAACGUGCUGCUAGGUCAAAUGAAGUUAAUUUCUGAAGCCCUGGCAGAGAACAAAGUAUUAAUUAGCAAAUGUUUACACCAAACUUGUGAAGACGACUCACUAUUAGAAAUAUUUCCAAUAGAAACGGAAGAAAGAUUGACUGAAAUCGAAUC